AAUUUGGUGGCUUACUUUUUGUGUUUAAUUUUAGAAAAAUCUUUAUUUUUAGUAUUGUUAUUGAAGGAAAAGUUUUAUGUUAUAGGUUAUUAGUACUGUGAAGGAGUGUUGAAAUAUUAGAAAAUGAAAAUUUUUUUAAGUAGACUUUAUUUGUUGUACCUUUUGUAUCAGGGUUGAUUAAAUUGUUUUAAUAUAUGUAGUCUCGAUUUCAGAAGAGCUAUGAAAAAUGGUUGCUGUUUCAUAAUUAUCAUGAAUUCAAUAUUAGGGGGGAAACCCCAAUCGGUCUUAAUGGUAUCUAGUUUUUUAAGAAUUAAAUUUAAUUUAGGUUUGUUUAUUAAUUUGUUUUUUGAGAAAUAAAUUAUCAAAUAUAGCAAAUAUUUUAGGGGAUAAGCUCUAAACUGAAGACUAUAAUUUUUUAUUAUUUUUAAUUUAUGUAGGCUUUAAAUUAGCUAUCAUUGGUAAUUUUGUUAUAAAUUGUUUUAAUUUAAUUUGAUUUAUUUAAAUUUAGUAUUUUAUUAAAAUGUCGCUUUUAAUGUGAAAAAGUUUGUAAUAAUGAUUAAAUUAGUAUAUUAUAUUGUAUAAAGUUGAUUAUAUAGUGAGGAUUAUAUAAGGAAUUCGGCAAAUAAAACAGUCGCCUGUUUAUCAAAAACAUGUCUUCUUGUUUUUAUAUGAAGUCUUGCCUGCCCGGUGAUUAUUUAACGGCCGCGGUAUUUUGACCGUGCAAAGGUAGCAUAAUCAUUAGUCUUUUAAUAGGGGACUGGAAUGAAGGGUUUGACGAACUGUUAGCUGUCUCAUUUAUUUUUAAAUUAAAAUUUAAUUUUUCAGUCAGAAAGCUGAAAUUUAGUUGGAAGACGAGAAGACCCUAUAGAGCUUUAUAAUUUGUGAUGUAUAUGAAGGUGAUGUUAUGACUAAAUUUAUAAUCAUUGAUUAUUUUAUUGGGGUGAUGAGAAAAUAUAAUAAACUUUUCUAUUUGUAAAACAUUGAUUUAUGAUUUAUUAGAUCCAGUCUUAUUGAUUAUUAGAUUAAGUUACCUUAGGGAUAACAGCGUUAUCUUCUCUUGGAGUUCUUAUUUACGAGAAGGCUUGCGACCUCGAUGUUGGAUUAAGAUAAUAGUUAGGUGCAGCAGCCUAAUGUAUAAGUCUGUUCGACUUUUUAAAUUCUUACAU
rnacentral:rRNA from 1 species